rnacentral:rRNA from 1 species
GACGAACGCUGGCGGCGUGCUUAACACAUGCAAGUCGAACGGAAAGGCCCUGCUUUUGUGGGGUGCUCGAGUGGCGAACGGGUGAGUAACACGUGAGUAACCUGCCCUUGACUUUGGGAUAACUUCAGGAAACUGGGGCUAAUACCGGAUAGGAUCUCCCGCUGCAGGGUGGGCGUUGGAAAGUUUCGGCGGUUGGGGAUGGACGCGCGGCUUAUCAGCUUGUUGGUGGGGUAGUGGCUGACCAAGGCUUUGACGGGUAGCCGGCCUGAGAGGGUGACCGGCCACAUUGGGACUGAGAUACGGCCCAGACUCCUACGGGAGGCAGAAGUGGGGAAUAUUGCACAGUGGGCGGAAGCCUGAUGCAGCAACGCCGCGUGCGGGAUAACGGCCUGCGGGUUGUAAACCGCUUUCGCCUGUGACGAAGCGUGAGUGACGGUAAUGGGUAAAGAAGCACCGGCUAACUACGUG